AUACGGAGGGUGCAAGCGUUAAUCGGAAUUACUGGGCGUAAAGCGUACGUAGGCGGCUUAUUAAGUCAGAUGUGAAAGCCCCGGGCUUAACCUGGGAACUGCAUUUGAAACUAGUAGACUAGAGUAUGGUAGAGGGGGGUAGAAUUCCUAGUGUAGCGGUGAAAUGCGUAGAUAUUAGGAGGAAUACCAGUGGCGAAGGCGGCCCCCUGGACCAAUACUGACGCUGAGGUACGAAAGCGUGGGGAGCGAACAGGAUUAGAAACCCUGGUAGUCC
rnacentral:rRNA from 1 species